AAAAAAAAAAAAAAAAAAAAGUGUUUGAAAUAGCGAAUGAGCCUGUGGCUCAAUGGUAGCACCCCUCUCACAAAGUGGAGAGGUUGUGGGUUCGAAACACGUCAACAGCUGAUUGUUGAUAUAAGUUUCGACACCUAAUUUAAAAGGGGUAGGGGUCCCCUCAACCUCGCUUGCCAACCAAAAAAAAAAAAUAAGUGUUUGAAACAAAAUAAAUAUUCCUUUGAAGAUUGUCAUCCGGCGUAAAAGGAGAGCAGGAAUUACAUUUUACUUGUUUGACUCGAGGGAACCUUACCUCCCAAUUCCCAAAGACAGUUUCAUGACUAUUUUUAUUCUGCAGAAUUUAUAUUACAGGCCCUAUGGUAUCCCUUUUUCGAUAAGUAGGUAUUUCAUUAAAAAAAUAGGGACAGUUACAAUAUACAGAGAUCGAAGUCCACGAGUGUACUACUGGCUAACAUCACCCUAGCACAGCAGUGACUCGAUAUAGAUACAUGUACAGAAAACAAAACAGAAGCAAAAGUUAGAGAGUUAUUAUGAUCUCCCUAAUAAUUGGUAUCGCACCUAGUUCAAUCACCUAAAAGACUAAAACAGUACCUCCAGAAGACAUAGGCAAGACUGCGCAAAUCUGCAGAAUUUAUAGCUGUAAAAUCAUAGCAAAGAUCCUAGUUGUUGGUGUCUCACCCAGCUCAUCAACUGAAACAGAAUAAAAAGUAUUCCAGUUCAAUUCACAAAAUCGGAAAGAGAAAAAGGAAAGGACAAAAAGAUUAAUAAAGAAAUUUGUUGAAUAAAAGAAUGAUAAAAAUUUUGAUCGAAAAAUAUAUUUCUGAUGAAAAAGAACAUUUAGAAAAGGAAGGUAAGUAUUAAGCAACAUGCCUUCAGUACUUUUGAUAGGAUACGCAAUAUAACUUCAAAUACAUAAUAUCUCAUUGUUUCAGACCUCCUCAAUUUUCUUGGAGGAGCAGUUUGUUCCAUAAAUGCACUCCAAUCAUUUGAAAAGGCUCCUUAAAAGAUCCAAGCUCCUUUUCUUUAACUCUUUCAGAUUACUCAACCUUAUCUAAUGUUUCUGACCUCUGUCCGCCACAACAUCCACAUCGUUCUCAGAAUAUCCCUUUCACUUCAGCACAAUCUUAUUGAGUAAAAUCUUUAUGCCUUGUCUUAGGAAGUGUCACUACCAGAAAUCUGUAUUCUUAUCUUCCCAAUAUAUUUAUGAAAUUAGUUCAUUCAGCUUGUUCGGCAUCUCUACUCGAAUCGCAAGAUACUAAUAUGACAUUGACCAUAAUUAAAUGUGCAUUCAUCGAACGACAGUCCUAAGUAGUAAAUUAUUACAUAUCUAAUGCAUCACAAAGGCGUUUACUAACCCAUAAACUUAAUCACCAUAUGAGAUUGUUUAUCUCAGUAGUCAUACAUAACACUAACCAGCUUCUGAAGUUUAUAUGGAGUUAGGUACACAAGUUUGAAAUCUUAGAGGCUUCAACAGUAUCUCUUCCACCAUCUCGACAUAACUUUAUCUGUGAACCCAACUCACUUAACAUUGAAUAAACCAUGCUUUUCUUAUGGUUUAGUCCAUGUUGGUCCUCCAAAAAUGAUUCAGAGAUACUUGAGUCACUAAUGUCAACUACACUAGAUCCUGCAGCUUUCUGCAAUCCAUUUUCGCUCAUCAUCUUCCUCACCUUCUCAACAUCAUCCCAUUUACCUUCCAUGGCAUAUAUGUUUGAUAACAGUAUGUAAGGUCCAAUAUCCUUUGGCUCCAUUUCAAUUAACCGCUUACCCACAAUCUUUCCAAGUUCAUAAUUCGAAUGAGUCUUACAUGCAGAUAAUAGAGCUCCCCACAACGCAGACCCAGCCUCCACAGGCAUUUUCUGGAUAAGCUCCUCUGAAUCUUUUAUUAAUCCAGCACGAGCAAGGAGAUCAACCAUACAACCAUAGUGUUCAGUCUUUGGCUCAAUCUUGUAAACCCGUCGCAUUAGAUCGAAAUACCACCAACCCUCUAACACCAUACCUGCAUGGACGCAUGCAGAUAAAACACAAACAAAAGUUGCACCAUUUGGUGUUUCUCCACUCUUUUCCAUCUCCAAGAACAUCUCAAGGGCCUUCUCACAAUGCCCAUGCAUGCCAUACCCCAUUAUCAAAGAAUUCCAUGACACAACGCUCCUCACCUGCAUCUCAUUAAAGAUUUCUCUUGCCAAGUCCAUGGACCCACAUUUUGCAUACAUCGUCAGAAGAGCAGUUGACAAUAACACAUCAGGUUCAAUCCUUCUAACUUUCAUAUAGGAAUGGAUCCAUAUCCCUAUAUCAAGCUUACCCAACUUUGCGCAAGCCGUCAGGACACUUACUAGAGUUGCCUCAUUAGGUCUUACCUCUCCACUAUUAAUCAUCCUAUCAAACAAUUUAAAACACUCCUCAUUAUUUUUACUACGCACAUAAAGAGCCAAGAUGGUAUUCCAAGACACAACAUUCCGUUUCUUCAUUUGAUCAAAUAGCUCACGAGCAGCUGAAACAUUCCCAAUCCUUGCAUACCCAUCAAUCAUUGUAUUCCAACUAACAAUAUCCUUAACCAACAUUCUCUGAAAAAGGUCUUGAGCAGACUCCAUAUCCUCAAUUCCAACAUAACCGGAAAUCAUUGAAUUCCAACUCACUAAAUCUCUUUCAGGCAUCACAUCGAAAAGCUCUCGUGCAAUACCAACUUCCCCAUUCUUCACAUACCCAGCAAUCAUAGAAUUCCAAGAUACAAUAUCCAAGUCAGAACAUGCAUCAAACACCUUCCACGCAUCCCAAAUUUUCAGAAAUGAAGAAUACAUAUAAAUCAUUGAAUUCCUAACAAACAAAUCAAAUUCAAAUCCCAAUUUCACAAUCCGAGCAUGAGCUUUCUCCCCUUCAAGAAUCGAACCAAGUUCCGCACAUAUCUUAGCUAAAAUGGGAAAAGUAUAAUGAUUAGGAACAAUACAUUUUCCAACCAUAUGUUCAUAAUAAAACCCAAUUGCAUUCUCAAGAUUAUUAAACUUCACAUAAGAUUUAAUAACAGUGUUACACAUAAAUGCAUCAGGUUCAUGAAACUGAGAAAAUAGUCUAACAGCAUGAGAAAUAAAAAAUGGGUAAGAACAAAGCUUCUUAACAACUCGACUAGCAACUAAAGAGUCUUGAAAAAGACCAGAAACAAUAAGCUGAGUAUGAAUUUGAUUAAAUUCAGAUAUAUUUCCAUUGAAUGAUUCUAAAAUGCGCAAAAUGGGAUUGUUUAAAUCUACUGUCUGCAACUCAUUUUGAUCAAAAUGUUUGUUUCUUGAACCAUAAUCAUCAUCAUUCCAAAUCUUUGAAGAAGGUUUAGAAAGAUUUUGUUGAGUUUUAAGGAUUUUUUCAAGAGAAAGAGCAUUCAAACGAAUGGGUUUGUAAAAGGAUUUCAUUGUAAUCUUCAAUUUCAUUUACUCACAAAAUAAGCGGGAAAUAAUAUCCAAUUAUUAUAAUCGGGCUGUGACCCAACCCAAAACAUUCCUCAAACCAUUGCUAGACCAGACCCGUUAUAUAUAUGAACGGCUGAACUCAUAUUGAUUUGGGGAUUUAGGGUUUUUCAAGAUGGUGUUGGGGUGAUGGUGAUGUUGAUGGAGAUGGAUUACCUUCUUCUUCCAAAAGAGAUUACAAUAGAAAUUCUGACAAGGGUUUCUACUAUCAAAUCAAUACAUCGAUGCAGGUCAGUGUGUAAAACAUGGCGUGAUAUUAUUGAUAAUAUUAGAUAUGCUAAUGGUGGUAUUACCAUGCAACAUUACCCUAAAGCAACCUAUGAUACCAAAUGUACUUUUAUUUUUUUAUGUGAUGAUGAUCCCCAUUUGGUUUAUCAUGUAGAUAUGAAUGAACCAAAAAACCCUCGUAUCACAAAAAUUGAUUGGCCUGGUUCAAGCAAUUCUUUUCGAUCUUAUGUUGAUGGAUUUUUUUGCAUUUCUUCGAAAAAAAUUAAAAAAACUGCUUAUGGUUAUAGCAUGCAUAUGCAUUAUAUAUAUAAUCCAGCUACACAAGAAUGUGUACAACUGCCAGAUCUUAAUUCUCCUCAAGUCGAAAUGGCUUAUCUCGUGCCAGGAUUUGGCUUUGAUAAGAUUAGGGAACGAUAUAAGGUGGUGCAACUCCUUUGUUCGACUGGUGAGUUAAACAUAGCUGAGGCUCAAGUACUUACAUUAGGCGACUCAAAUUCAUGGAGAAGAUUAGAGAAUGUUCCAAACGUUGAAUGUUCUGUAAAAUCAUCUUCUACAUUGGUUAAUGGUGUUUUGCAUACCCUUACCAGAGAGACAGGCAUAUUGUCCUUUGAUUUGGCGUCUGAAAAGUUUGGAUUUAUUGCUUAUCCUUCCCGUUUGUCGGUUAACUUAAAGAAAUUUCGGCUUCUAAAUUUAAAUGGGUGUCUUUCAAUUGUUGUUGAUGCUUCUUCGGAUUGUUUGGAGGUGUGGAUUAUGAAGGCUUACAAUGUACCUGGAUCAUGGACCAAACUUACUAUAAGCCAAACCAAGUGUCGGCAUGGUUGUUGCAAGGUUCUUCAUCCUAUUCGUCUGUUUACAAACAAUCAGAUUUUACUAGCUUGUCAGUCAAGUAUAUUGCUCUCUUACAAUAUUAAGAGCCGGCAAUAUCGUAAAAUACUUGAUAUAAGAGAAAAUCAAAAGCACGAACAUGAUUCGACUGGAUCACUCAGAUACAAAGUUUAUCCAUAUGCUGGAAAUCUCAUAUCACUCAUAUCAGUCUUCAAGUAGCAAAAGAAUGCAGGAAAGUCAACCGAAUCUGUCGCCAAGAAUGGGCAAUGAAGAAGCUAAAAAACUAGGUAAAUGGUUUUUACAAUUAUUUCUAUUUCAGAUGUGUAUUUUCCUUUCGUUAAUAGUUAUGUUCUAUGCAUAUAAUUAAAUCAUGAAAAUACAGUUACGUGGAGCUUAUUGUAUGUAUGUUCAGCUUUUUAUUUAUUUCACUUCUGCGGACACUAUUGUAUAUGUGUGCUGUUAGUUACUUCAUUUUUUUUCAUUUGUGAUUAUGUAUUGAUGUCUUAUUUGAUAGAUUUAGAAGAACACUUUUUUUUUUUUGAAUCAUUGGACAAUCUUUGGAUUCUACAAAUAGAUAUGUAUAAUCAGUUUCUUAAGAACGAUUACAUGUUUCAUUAAUAUGAUGUAGGCUAUAAUUAGUUCCUGGAUUCCAGUAUCCAGGGAAUUAAAACAGGGGAGAUCAGUAGUAUAAAGAAUGAUUGAGAGAUGUACCGAGAACAUAACAAAAAAAUAAAAAAAAUUUGAAACAGAUAUAAAACAAAAGUUGGAGAGGAGAUUACGAUUUACGAGUUGUAGGGUUAUCAUCAGUGCUCCACUUACCUUCUAGGAGAGAUUAUUUGUGAAUGAGCAAUCUCUCGUAAUAUUAUAAUGGUCAGGUGCAUUUUUAUGUAAAAAUGGCAUUCUUCUUUUAUUGGAAAAAGUCUUAUGCGACCUUUUUGUUUUUCUUAGGUAGAGAAACCACCAAGGAAUGCUAAAACUUGUUAAUAUCUAUAUAUCAUCCGUAAAAUCGCGUUAGAUGAAUGCUAUCAGCUUCUGCAGAUGUUAUGUGAGAUAGCAAAUGAGAUAGUAUAACUCUGUAUUUUAAGGAGUAGUAUGCCAGAGAUUAACAUGUCGAUUUCUGGUUAAGCUCUAGUGUAGUAUCUGUCCACCUGAAAUUACUCCCAAACUGUUUUGAGUACAAAAUCUAAACCAACUCUCUAUGUAUGUAGGUCAAUUAGAUCAAUCCUUUGUCUGAAGUUGAGGUGUUGGAAAUUUAUCAUUACUUUGGAGGUUCGAAAAGUUGAACAAACAGCUUGAGUGAAAGAACAGUGAAGCAUGGGAGCAAUAUUCACUAGUUAAAGUAUACCAUUUGAUAACAGGACGCAAACCGUCUUUUUCCUUAAAAGAAGUAGAUACAAAAAGUUAACCUCUCAAGGUAUGAGCUAAAACCAUUGAGAGUACUUAGAUGAUUUUAUCAAAUAGAUACAUGAAAUAUAAUGUUUGAGUGACAAUUACACACACACACACACACACAAAGUUGAACAAUUCCGGAACACACCAGGAAACUUGAAUCAAGCUGCUAAAAUUCAUCCUAGGAUCCUAGCGUGGUGACAGUGUUCACAAGCAAAUAUGAGCAGUGAGUAUUGAUAAGAUAUAGUUAUAAUUGAAGAUUCUGCAGACUAGCAAGGUGACAAUGUUCACAUGCAAAUAUGAACGUGGAGUAGUAUCGAUAAAACAUAGCUAAAAUUAAAAGAUUUUGCACACAUGUGGCAUCCACCUUGUUGCUAAUUAAUAAAAGAACAGGUUUCAUUUAGGAGGGAAUUUUGCGUUAAAACUGAAAUACAUCUUCUAUGGCCACAACAUGUCCAAGCAAUAUAUUUUGAUAUUUUAUGCAACAUGUUUCUUAUUCUGUGAGUGAUUGGUUCAUGGAGAGCCAGAUACUGACAGGAUGGUAUAUCUUCUCUCCUGUGCUACGGAAAUAUUUUAUAAAAACAGAUUGAAUAAUUCCUAUCCUAGUACCUUUCAUAUAUCACUCAGUUAUGAAGUUUAUCCAUAUGAUGGGAAUCUCAUGUCUCUCAAAUCAGUCUGCAAGGGGCAAGAAAAUGCAAAACAGUCAACCAAAUCUGUUUGCAAUGAAUUGAAGAAAGGGAUGUAAGAAAGAAGCUGAAAACCUAGGUAAAUGUGUCUUACAAUUAUUUCGAUUUCAGAUGUGUGUUUUCCUUUCAUGAAUACUUACGUUUUGGGACAAUGUCGGGAGUGCAGGUUUAGGUUUAGUAUCACAAACUGUCUUUGUAUGGAACAAAUUGUAUAUAGGUUGUAUAUUCUGAUCUUUAAUUAUUUCAAUUCUGUCCAUGCUAGAUGUGAUUAAUCUGAUUUUGGUCUCUUCCAUUACUGUUUUUAGUUGCUGGAAUGCAGUAUCCAGUAUACUAAAACAGGAUAGAUCAGUACAGCAAAGAACAAAUAGAAUUAAAGACAUAGAGAACAAAAGAAAUACGAGCGAUCUGUUGUUGUGUUAUACGUCUCAGGUGCAUUUUCAUAUAAUAAUGUCUUGUGAAAGGGUCGCACGAAAUCGUUUAAUACUUUCUUGUGGGAAAGGUAGAGAAACCGCCAUGGAAGAUAAAAAUAUAUUGUCUGUAAUAAUUAUGUUAGAUGCAUGUUAUGAGCUUCUGCAGACGUUAUGUCAGAUUGUAUAACUCUGUAUUAUAAAGAAUGGUAUACCAGAGAAUCAGAGAUCGAAAUGCAUGGGAAGUGCCUAAGCUCAAGUGUAGUAUCUGUCAUUCUGUCAACCCAAAAAAGAGAUUGGACCUCAAGUACAAUCAGUUAUGAAGUUUAUCCGUAUGCUGGGAAUCUCAUAUCGCUGAAAGCAGUCUGCAAGGAGCAAGAGAAUGCAAGGAAUUCUACCCACCCUUUCUGCAAUGAGCAAAUGGAUGCAAGAAAGAAGAUCAAGCGCUAGGUAUUACUUCAAACAAUUACUAAUUCAAAUGUGUGUUUUCCAUUCCCUUAUAUAUGUUCCAACUUCCAAGCAUAUAUACAACCAAUCAUGAAAAAAAAAAUCAAGUUAGUAUUGGUUCAAUGUACAAUAUGUACUCAAUCUUGAAAAUGUGUGUUUAGGUUAAGCAAAAUGCAAUGAAUCUAAACUGGUAGGGGUCUGUCUAACCCCAGCAAAGAUUUUGCUGGCUUUUGCGGAAAAAAAAAAAAUGAAAAAUGCAAAGAUUUUUAUUAUAUUUCUAUGUCUGCCGCCAGCAUUGUGUUUAUGUUGGGGUGGUUUUAUUUGAAAAAGAAAAAAAAAAAAAAAAACAUUGAGAUUUAUGUGAAAGAACACAUACAAACAAUUAUUAUUUUUCAAUAAAAAUUAAAUUAGCUAGGGUUAUGUAGAUUCUCAUUUCUCGCCGUAUUGAUCAAAUCUCAAGUACUUUGUGGUUUGUAUACACCCUCUGUAAUAUAACAAAGUUCUUUAGUGAGAGAGGAGAAAUAAUUAAAGUAAUAUACAUUCAGAUCUUGUUCCACUCCCAUCCUAGCCAAGUGAUUAGUUGCUCGAUUUGUUACUUGUAGACAGGGUAGAAUCUGAC
rnacentral:lncRNA from 1 species